ACUCUUUCCCUGUUGCACUAC
rnacentral:ncRNA from 3 species